AAGAGAUCACACGGCGAGAGACUGAAAGAAAAGCAGCAAAGCCCUGGGUAAUCAAGGCCCUAAACGGAAAGUGUCAGGAUCUUGGGGAUCGUAUUGUAUAAAAUGGAUGAAAACAGAGCUAUUGGGUUUGAAGCACUCCUGAACCCUCUCAUGGAACCCUAUGUCUUCCUGGAGUCUACAGAGCUAUUGGGUUUGAAGCACUCCUGAACCGUCUAGUAGAACCCUAUGUCUUCCUGGAGUCUACAGAGCUAUUGGGUUUGAAGCACUCCUGAACCGUCUAGUAGAACCCUAUGUCUUCCUGGAGUUUACAGAAAAAGAGACUCAGGGAUUUUCCCAAAGCACACUGCAAGUUAGGGGCAGGAAUGACAGCCCAGACCUUCUGGUUUCCAGUCCAGGGCUCAACUGCCUAAACAGUGGCAUCUCUUCAGGCAGGCCCUGUCAGAGGCAGAUUAGGGGACUUGUCCAAAGUUACUCAACUAUGAAGAGUCAAGAUUCAAAUCCAGAGACAUCUGACUUCAUUUCCCUUCAUUAACAACCAUCUAAGGAAGUUCCUAUUACUUUGGGAACUCCUAGUAGCAGGUGGUUAAAAAAAACUCCUGGACAACAUACUAUGCUAUUUGAAUCAUCCUACUUCUUACGCGUUCCUCCAGGAUGCACUCUUCUCCCAUUCUGAAACUGACAGUUCUCUUUACAAACUGUGUAUGUUUCAUUCCUGGAUUGCAUCUGAGCUGCCGCCAUGGAACGGGCAUUGAGUUUUAGCGUGUGUGAUGUCCCAUGUGUUCAUUUUGUCUCCCCACACUAUAAACUUGAGAGGCAAGGCCAACUCUUUUAUGUCUUCAAAUGCUUUGCUGCCAAACACAGGAUUGGAAAUGGCCAACAAAGACUAAAAUGCUACUUCUCUACCCUUUUCACUAUGCCAUCUACUGGAAAUUUAAGCAAGACUUGCAGAGAUCACUUCAGGUUAUCUGUUCCCCUGCAAGAAACACUUGUGGUUUGGCCUGAAAUAGUUUUCUGCUGAUUCUUUCUCUACAGCCCUGAACCCUAAAAACAAAUGAAAUGCAUCAACACAAUACUAAAUGCCUACAUAUUAUUACUAUUAUGUCUUUAAAAAAAGAGUGAAAGCUUUUUCAUGUUUGCUUUAAAUCAACCAUGUAGAAACUGGAGGGACCAGUGAAGAGGAAUAGAGGGAAUGAACUCAAAUGCUCUAACUUGCAAUAGGACAGUUGGGUUCUUACUUUGACUCACCUGACCUUUACAACCAUUAGCCAGCUCACAUGAUGCCCAAACAAGUUGCUGAGCCUCCUGCCCAUCCUCUGUAUAUAUCCCUGGUUUCCUGUCUCAAGCUUUAGGCUAAUCUCCAUCAACACUGACCUCACAUGAAUACUAAAUGCAGAUGUCUGACCUCAUAUUUCUCUGCCAGUCAGAUCCCUGGCCUCUUUACUACAGACCUUAAGGACCAGUUCUCAAACUCAUCUCAUUGGCAUCUUUUCACAUCACGAAAUCUAUCUGGUCAGGAUUUGAAUAAAACUGUAUUUUUACUUUAAUACAAAAGAGUCAACAUGGGCAGUGACUAAAUAAAGGGGGUGGGGACAGAGUUAACACGAGCCACCUAUGCUGUUACAUAUAUAUAUAUCCCGAUUAAUUUCAGUUGGUGAAGAGGAAGACCCUCGGGCACAGAUUUCAACACUGUGCUGGACUCAGACCCAAAAUCCUUUGACUUAUUUUUAUUUUUUGGGAUGAGGUCUCGCUAUGUUGCCCAGGCUGGAGUACAGUGGCUAUUCAUAGGCACUAUCAUAGUGCAGGGUAGCCUUGAACUCCUGGCCUCAUGAUCCUCCCACCUCAGCCUCCCUAGUGGCUGGUAGCUGGGACUACAGACACAACCAGCCCUCUGACUUAUUUUUACUACUCUGCUGUGAAACUCACCCGAUCUUUACUUUGGCCUUCAUUAUUGAGGCUUCCUUAAAGCAGUGGUUCUCAAAGUACCAGGUCCUGAUCAGCAGCAUCAGCAUCAAUUUGUUAAAAAUACAAAUGCUCUAUGGGGCCCUACCUCAGACUUACUGAAUCAAAACUCCUUAGUCAAGACUUAACUGCUGGUAAGUGACUGAGUUUUUGGUCAAAGGCAUUUCCUUUUAGCACUUGUUCUCUGGGUCCUGAUUUUUCUUUACUUAUUUCAACAGAAUGACCUUUCCCAUUGUAUUCCAUCAGAGAGUGCUAAUUAGAAGCAAAACCACAGCUUAAUUGUCUUUUUUUUUUUUUAACUUCGCAUUCCCAAGUUACACCGUCAUUUUCUUUUUGUGACUAUGCCCUUGAAAAUCUAGGGCAAUAGGUCUGCUCAGUGUUGUUGAUUUUCUUAUCCACAAGACUGGUUUCACUUUAUUAGAACUUUCUAGUUCCAAAAUUAGGCUAUCCUGCUAACUUCCUUCCCACUUGAGUGUUCCACUACAUACAUUCCACAGCCCUUUACACUUGGAAAUACUUUCACACAUUGGCUUGCAGGCUAGAUAGAUUGUCCACCUUUUAUCUGUAAAAGGUAAAACAGAAACUCAGUGAGAUUAAAGCCAUAGCUAUAAAGUAGUGAAGUUUAAAGUUCUGGUACCUACUUCAGUCCCUGACUCAUAACAAGCGCUCAAUAUAUUUAACAAGUAUGUGAAUGACCAUGGAAGCCAGAUCUUUGACUUCUAGGCUGGUUUUCUUUCUCUUUUUUUUUUGAGAUGGAGUCUCGCUCUGUUACCCAGGCUGGAGUGCAGUGGCACGAUCUCGGCUCACUGCAACCUCCGCCUCCCAGGUUCAGGCAAUUCUCCUGCCUCAGCCUCCCAAGCAGCUGGGAUUACAGGUGCACGCCACCAUGCCCAGCUAACUUUUGUAUUUCUAGUAGAAACGGGGUUUCACCAUGUUGGCCAGGCUGGUCUCGAAAUCCUGACCUCAAGUGAUCCGCCUGCCUUGGCCUCCCAAAGUGCUGGGAUUACAGGCAUGAGCCACUGCACCCAGUUUCUGGCUGGUCCUUUCUAUCUCUAGAUCACACAAUCUCUCAUGUUACAUAGUUGUGGGAAUAGACAAGUCUAGCUCCAAAAAGCGUUAAUAAUCUUGUCCCAUUUAUUUUCCUAG
rnacentral:lncRNA from 10 species